rnacentral:rRNA from 1 species
UGAGCAACCUGCCCCCUACUUCGGGAUAAGCCUUGGAAACGAGGUCUAAUACCGGAUAUGAGCACUUACCGCAUGGUGGGUGUUGGAAAGUUUUUCGGUGGGGGAUGGGCUCGCGGCCUAUCAGCUUGUUGGUGAGGGUAACGGCCCACCAAGGCGACGACGGGUAGCCGGCCUGAGAGGGUGACCGGCCACACUGGAACUGAGACACGGCCCAGACUCCUACGGGAG